rnacentral:rRNA from 1 species
AUACGAAAGGUGCAAGCGUUGUUCGGAUUUACUGGGCGUAAAGAGAUCGUAGGUGGUUUAUUAAGUCGGAUGUGAAAUCCCGGGGCUCAACCUCGGAACUGCAUUCGAUACUGGUAGACUAGAGUGUGGGAGGGGUAAGCGGAAUUCCGUGUGUAGCAGUGAAAUGCGUAGAUAUACGGAGGAACACCUGAGGCGAAGGCGGCUUACUGGACCAAUACUGACACUGAGGAUCGAAAGCGUGGGUAGCAAACAGGAUUAGAUACCCUAGUAGUCC